UACGUAGGGUGCGAGCGUUAAUCGGAAUUACUGGGCGUAAAGCGUGCGCAGGCGGUUUUGUAAGCCAGAUGUGAAAUCCCCGGGCUUAACCUGGGAAUGGCAUUUGGGACUGCAAGGCUCGAGUGCGGCAGAGGAGACUGGAAUUCCUGGUGUAGCAGUGAAAUGCGUAGAUAUCAGGAGGAACACCGAUGGCGAAGGCAGCCUCCUGGGCCAACACUGACGCUCAUGCACGAAAGCGUGGGGAGCAAACAGG
rnacentral:rRNA from 1 species